CUCUGCUCUCUCUUUUCUGCUUUGAGAGCAAGAAACAGCCUAUCUAAAUCUAACAGAGGGGCAGGGAGGCUGAAGAAUUUCCCACAUCAGGCACUCCCUUCAAAACAGGUCUGAGCUAGCUGCAUGGGACAGUCGAGACAGCUUGUUCUUUCCUUGUUCAUGCUGCAUCGGUGGCUAACUCGGAUCAAGCCAGAAUCAAGACAUACAAAACACCAGCCACAGAAAUCAAAGCCAACCCCCUGGAAAACCGAACUUGAAGAGAGGAGAUGGCAUGUGCCGGGAGUAAUGAAUGCCUUGCUUCGACAGGGAAGGCACGUGGCUUUCCUUGCGGCACCGUGGGCAGCCCUGGCACCUGGAGUGAGAAUCACUGAGCUACUGAAAGCUUGAGGGUGUUUUAUGACCUCAUCAUCUGAAGCCUUCGCCACUACCUCACUGCAAUCAUAGGAACAUGGAAGGAACUGCCAUGUAGAUGAACCACUGGUCGCAUCCAAUGCAACAUUUUGGAUUGCCCUGAAUCAGGAACCUUUAAAUGCUGUCUGACAGUAUAAGUAUAUUGAGGUGAUACACAAAAAUGCCAUAAAUAAAUAAUGAACAACCAAACUA